CCAAAAUGCUUUGUUACCAUGGUAACUGGAAACCUGUAAUGUGGCAAUUUUGACAAUUUGCAAAUGAAAUAUUAUUAGCUGAUAAUGAAUAUAAUUGCAGCCCUUCUGUGGUUUAUAUUAUCAGAUGUUUUUAAAGUACAGAGUCAAUAAUGAAGUGCAGUUAUGUAGAAAUGUACCAGGAGUCAACAGAGGUGGACUUUUAUUUGAAUUAAAAGAAAAAAAUGAAAAAAGUGAAAAAGUGAAAGAACCCUACGAAGAAAACUGCACAUUGUUGAAGGUAGAAUGAAGUUUUAAGAUGAGCUGCUAUAGGAUGAAUUUGAUUGUGACGGACCUUUGACCUGUCAACGCCCCGCCCACCUUUAAUCAGGCGCUGUGACAUGCGCACUAGCGCUUCACGUUGGACGUCUGGCCUGGCAGAAGUAUAACGGAAUAAGAUCGUGUUCAUGGCGGAACGUUACAGCUCCAACUGAAACGCAGGCACGCGACAGGGCGCGCGACGGCUGUGGGACAAGUCAACAGGAUGUCAACGUAGCAACAGAACAACAACAUGGAGGAACAAACCCAACUCGGGCGUUGUCUGCGCACCUGGAGUGUGACGUCACCGCAGGUUCUCGUCGGCUUGUUUUGACAUCGCUGUGAGCGGCGGUGGGUUGUUGUGGCACAAGCAUCAAGAGCUGUUGGAGGCCGGAGGAGCCGUGAGACGCCAGGUUCCAUCACGUUCCCCCAGACGGAGAACGUGAGACGCCAGGUUCCAUCACGUUCCACAGAGAAGCCGUCCGCGGGGGGAACCAGACGUUCCCCAGACAGAGAACGUGAGCGGGGGGAACCAGACGUUCCCCAGACGGAGAACUUGAGCGGGGGGAACCAGACGUUCCCCAGACAGAGAACGUGAGCGGGGGGAACCAGACGUUCCCCAGACAGAGAACGUGAGCGGGGGGAACCAGACGUUCCCCAGACGGAGAACUUGAGCGGGGGGAACCAGACGUUCCCCAGACAGAGAACGUGAGCGGGGGGAACCAGACGUUCCCCAGACGGAGAACGUGAGACGGUGAGGAUGCAACAAGGACAUGUGUUCUGCUCCUCGUCUUCCAGGUUCUGCUUCAGUGGUUCUAUCGACGUCUACCACAGCCAGCGCUUCAGCUCUGCAGCCUCUUACUGGACGCUUAAAGGAGAGGAGCAGGUCCGAACGCCAGCGGGUUCUGGCAGCACCAGCCAGCGCUGCAGCGUCUUUGCCCUCCGUGG